AUGGAGAUUAAAGGCGCAAAUCGGCUCCCCAAUCGUCUCUCCUUCCUUCUUCAAGGUUCUGCUCGUUCCCCAUCAGCUAGACGUUGGAGAGGAGACAACUUCUGUGGAUCUAAGUUUCAACGCUCGGGAGCCAGGAGAACUGCUGAAGUGGAGAAGGGGGGAAACAAUUCAGUUCCUGGUGUUGUGUUCUUGUUCGUGCUGACUUCAACCUCCAGAUCUACUGAUUUGGCCACCUACAACCACAUUCAGGUGCUUUUGUUCCUUGUUUUAAUCAUUUUAUGCUGCUUGUUCUUGUUUACUGAGAUGUCCUCUAGAAAGCAUUUAUCUGGUAGUGCCAAAAGGAAGAGAAAAAAGGAAAAAGACAAAGAGGUAAAAUCCCUGAAAGGAUCACUUAACAAUUUUUUCAGACCUGUUAGUUCUUCUACGGAUCCCCUGGAAUUGGCCAUAGUAAGUGUUGAAGAACAACCAACUGAUAAUACAAAUUCUACUGAUGAUGAUAUGAAUGAGGGUAAUAACAAUUCCAGUGAGCACGAACAUGUAACUCAUUCACCGCAUGUCGAUAAACAACAACCAUUCACUGUUGACAUUUUUUAUCCACGAAACUGGGAUAAUCUGGAUGAUAAGGCUAGGGACAUUUUAGUUGAGAAGGGUCCCGUAAGAAAUGAUGGCAAGUUCUUGCAGUAA
rnacentral:rRNA from 1 species